rnacentral:ncRNA from 23 species
AUCCUAGAUGCUCGCGACGGUUUCCCCCGAGAGGGGAUGAAAAGGGAAUGCGGUGCGGGGAUGUUUCCCCAAUGCCGCGGCUGCCCCCGCAACUGUAAGCGGAUAAUCCUUCGUCAGAAGCCACUGGGUCCUCGGUCCCGGGAAGGCGACGAAGUGGUGACGACCCGCGAGCCAGGAGACCUGCCGUCAGCCGUGGUCACACG